rnacentral:rRNA from 1 species
UAGGGAAUCUUCCGCAAUGGACGAAAGUCUGACGGAGCAACGCCGCGUGAGUGAAGAAGGAUUUCGGUUCGUAAAACUCUGUUGUUAGGGAAGAAAAAAUGUAUAGUAACUAUAUACAAAAGAGACGGUACCUAACCAGAAAGCCACGGCUAACUACGUGCCAGCAGCCGCGGUAAUACGUAGGUGGCAAGCGUUGUCCGGAAUUAUUGGGCGUAAAGCGCGCGCAGGUGGUUUAGAAAGUCUGAUGUGAAAGCCCACGGCUCAACCGUGGAGGGUCAUUGGAAACUAAUAAACAUGAGUGCAGGAGAGAAAAGUGGAAUUCCUAGUGUAGCGGUGAAAUGCGUAGAGAUUAGGAGGAACACCGGUGGCGAAAGCGGCUUUUUGACCUGCAACUGACACUGAAGCGCGAAAGCGUGAGGAGCAAACAGG